CCUACGGGCGGCAGCAGUGAGGAAUAUUGGUCAAUGGACGAGAGUCUGAACCAGCCAAGUAGCGUGAAGGAUGACUGCCCUAUGGGUUGUAAACUUCUUUUUUAUGGGAUUAAAAUGUUCCAGGUGUGGGUUUUUUUUUUUACCAUUUGAUAAAGGAUCGGCUAAUUCCGUGCCAGCAGCCGCGGUAAUACGGAGGAUCCGAGCGUUAUCCGGAUUUAUUGGGUUUAAAGGGAGCGUAGGUGGAUUGUUAAGUAAGUUGUGAAAGUUUGCGGCUCAACCGUAAAAUUGCAGUUGAAACUGGCAGUCGUGAGUACAGUAGAGGUGGGCGGAAUUCGUGGUGUAGCGGUGAAAUGCUUAGAUAUCACGAAGAACUCCGAUUGCGAAGGCAGCUCACUGGACUGCAACUGACACUGAGGCUCGAAAGUGUGGGUAUCAAACAGGAUUAGAUACCCGUGUAGUC
rnacentral:rRNA from 1 species